rnacentral:rRNA from 1 species
UACGGAGGGGGCUAGCGUUGUUCGGAAUUACUGGGCGUAAAGCGCACGUAGGCGGCUUUGUAAGUUAGAGGUGAAAGCCCGGAGCUCAACUCCGGAAUUGCCUUUAAGACUGCAUCGCUCGAAUCAUGGAGAGGUGAGUGGAAUUCCGAGUGUAGAGGUGAAAUUCGUAGAUAUUCGGAAGAACACCAGUGGCGAAGGCGACUCACUGGACAUGUACUGACGCUGAGGUGCGAAAGCGUGGGGAGCAAACAGG